AAAUUGAAGAGUUUGAUCAUGGCUCAGAUUGAACGCUGGCGGCAGGCCUAACACAUGCAAGUCGAACGGUAGCACAGAGAGCUUGCUCUCGGGUGACGAGUGGCGGACGGGUGAGUAAUGUCUGGGAAACUGCCUGAUGGAGGGGGAUAACUACUGGAAACGGUGGCUAAUACCGCAUAAUGUCGCAAGACCAAAGAGGGGGACCUUCGGGCCUCUUGCCAUCAGAUGUGCCCAGAUGGGAUUAGCUAGUUGGUGAGGUAACGGCUCACCAAGGCGACGAUCCCUAGCUGGUCUGAGAGGAUGACCAGCCACACUGGAACUGAGACACGGUCCAGACUCCUACGGGAGGCAGCAGUGGGGAAUAUUGCACAAUGGGCGCAAGCCUGAUGCAGCCAUGCCGCGUGUAUGAAGAAGGCCUUCGGGUUGUAAAGUACUUUCAGCGGGGAGGAAGGUGUUGUGGUUAAUAACCUCAGCAAUUGACGUUACCCGCAGAAGAAGCACCGGCUAACUCCGUGCCAGCAGCCGCGGUAAUACGGAGGGUGCAAGCGUUAA
rnacentral:rRNA from 1 species